rnacentral:rRNA from 1 species
CCUACGGGUGGCAGCAGUAGGGAAUCUUCACAAUGGGCGAAAGCCUGAUGGAGCAACGCCGCGUGCAGGAUGAAGGCCUUCGGGUUGUAAACUGCUUUUAUAAGAGAGAAAUAUGAUGGUAACUUAUGAAUAAGGAUCGGCUAACUACGUGCCAGCAGCCGCGGUCAUACGUAGGAUCCGAGCAUUAUCCGGGGUGACUGGGUGUAAAGAGUUGCGUAGGUGGCAUAAUAAGUAGCUAGUGAAAUCUGGUGGCUCAACCAUUCAGACUAUUAGCUAAACUGUUCAGCUCGAGACCGGUAGGGGUAACUGGAAUUUCUAGUGUAGGAGUGAAAUCCGUAGAUAUUAGAAGGAACACCAAUAGCGUAGGCAGGUUGCUGGGACGGUUCUGACACUAAGGCACGAAAGCGUAGGGAGCAAACGGGAUUAGAUACCCCAGUAGUC